UACCUUGAGAUGGAACUUCAUUCUGCUCAUGAAGUCAAAAUCACUGUAUUUGAGGUAACUCCCCACUCUGGUUAGAAAGGUAGAAAUGAAAAGAAUAUGAUCAAAUAAUUGUGUGUCACUCCCCUUCCUCCCCUGCCGUUUCACAUUUCUUCACAGAUGAGGAAUGGAAUGUAGUGCCCACAGGGUAAGGCAGUUAUUUCAGAAGUUAGUGACUAUCACUGUCGAAUGCUGAGUGACUCCACCUAAGUAGCCUCUGAAGGUUGAACCCCCUCCCUCUUACCUUUCCAAUAACCAGAUUACCAGCAACAGCAGUUUGAGGCAUUCAGCGUAACAUCUGGGACAUGCAGACGUUCUGAAAAACAGAAACGCGAGGAAUUCCUACACGUAGGCGCCGCAAGUCGUGACUUAUCCACAGGCAGUCCUCAGUCGAGCCCACGUCAGUCACUAGAUGGCACACUUACACAACGCACUGCGCUUCCUUACCUUGCUCUACAGAUGCUGGGCUGCCGCGAAGAGCUUUUCCCACGGGAGACAAGGGAUUCUUUGAUGCGCAGUGUCCCGCUGUGUACCUUGUAUUUUUAUUGCAGUUUCCUGCCUUCAUUGGUAAGCUUGCAAUUUAUUGUUAGCACGGCUUUAAGCUGAAACGGGUAGAUUCAGAUUAGAUAUUAGGAAAAAAUUCUUCACUAAGAAGGUGGUGAUGCCCUAGCACACGUCGCCCAGAGAACCUGUGGCUGUCCCAUCCCUGGCAGUGUUCAAGGCCAGGCUGGACGGGGCUUGGAGCAACCUGGUCUAGCGGAAGGUGUCCCUGCCCGUGGCGGGGAGUUGGACCUAGAUGAGCUUUAAGGUCCCUUCCAAGCCAAACUGUUCUGUAAUUCUACGAUUCUCUGCCUUCAGUUACAGUUAAAUUAGUCUUGCCAUCUUGAAUCUGGGAGAAUGGCUUGUUUCAGCUGCCUCGAGGAACGUCUGCAAAAAGCGCUAUGAACCUGGCUUAUCACUCCAGCAGUGGUCACGCAGCUGCAAGUUGGUGGUAUCUGAUAACUUAAGGUCCUGAAGUCUUACCGUGUGGCAAGAAGAAAUAAAGCAGGAGCAGAGGAAGAAGAAGAAGAGAACCAGGACUAGUGCUCACACCUGCAACUUUUCUCCAUGGGUCAUUUUUCCUUGGGCACCUUCUACUAUGCCAAAAGACUGCAAGAUUUAAAAACAUACAGCAACUAUUUUGUAUCAACUAAUGCAUACAGCUUGGAAAUAUGCUUUUCAUCAGUCAUCUACUCUGGAGAGGAACGGCAUGAAUUUCAACACUUCUGCUAUUUUUGCCUGCAAAAUAUUCAAAAUUGUUUCUGCAGAAGCUAUGGGCAGCAGUGGGGGACAUUUAUUUAAAGAAAUUUGGAACAAUGGAUCACUAGUGAUUAAAAUAAAAAUGGAAAUUACAUUCUGGAUGCAGGAGGCAAAUGAGUAUUGCAUUUACAAUACUUUGGCAUUUAGCAUGUAUGAACCAACCCCGAGUGCCUGCAUUUUGGAAAUUUUGAAACCUGGUUGUCUUUUGAAUCCUAUGAAAAAUGUAGAUUCAAGCUCCGCAUUUUAUGCUAAUGUGAAUAGGUGAAGGAGAAUACCAGUUUGUAGAAACAAGGGAAUUAGCAUGUGAAUGGGGAGUAUUGGACUUCUCCCUCUUGAAAAGGCAGCUUUCAAAGUAGAAACUGGGAUUUAAAUCUCACACUGAUUUUUCUCUUUUCAUAUCCCCAAAUCAUGUUACUUGCAGUGCAUUAACAGCCUUUGAGCCUGUACCCCAUUGGGCUACAGGUGCUGUCAUUUUAACUAAUAGCUAUAAUCUACAAAUCUAACAAUCAAUGAACCAACCUGUUUUCUCUCCCCCUUCCUAAUUCUACUUUUGGAUCUCAGUUUCAGUUUUCAGGACUGACAGUUAUAAAAAUACUUGCAGAGAAAGAAGCUGACUGGGAGACCAGCCUGGACUCCCUCCUUCCUCAUCAAAUCCUGUUUUUCAGAGGACUGCAUUGUCACCCUCACCAGAGAGGUUUGUCUCUGGUGCUGAUGUAUUCCUUGCAAACAAAACAAGCUUGCAGCAGCAUGUUGCUGAAUAAGCUAGAUUGCAGUGACACGGGAGAAUUAGUGCCUACUGAAGGGAGACGACUUGUGGAGAUAGUUUCAGGAAUGUUUCCAGCACAAGCAGCCAUCCACAUGUCUAAAGCUGCACAGCUCAAACAACUUGGUCCCAUACUGCAACGUGUCAAGCCACCUUCAGCAGAGACUAUGUUCACAUUCUUUGCUCAUGUGAAGUAAAAAUUCAUGAGUCUCUGCUGUGACUGCAAUUCUCCAAUGAAAGCAAAUUUUUGCCUUCCAAGCUCUUCUCCUCCCUCUCCCCCACCUCCAUUCCCCUGAAUUAGCCACAGUAACCUGCUCUGCAUUUCAAACACCUGCUUGCAUUUGUGCGAUGGCGUGCCUGUUUGCUUUCCUUCAUUGCAUUUUAUUUGCCUUUGUUUAAUGAUUAAAGCAAAACAAAACCAUUGUAGCAGGUAAGUGCCUCCUUAGCAAAGAACAGAGCUUGCAGUAAGUCUGAUCUAGGAGCAUGACACUCCUGCCUCUGCCAGCACCAGACCUGGGCUGCUCUCAAGCUGAGUCCUGCAAAUAUGACUUGGUAUGAUGCUCUCUGCCCCACCCAGCCUCCUUUUAUCUGCAAAUACAUUCACAUGAUUUUGAAAACAACAUUUUAAUUGACAAUAAAAUGGAGAUUUUUCAGGUUUAUUCCUCUUAUUUGUUCGGGGUAACCACAGUAGUCUUCUUAUGAAGCAACACUAAUCUGAGCUCUGCACCAACUGGGUGUUCCCACUGCAGUACAAAAGAACGGUGGCUAAAAUCCACUUGUGCUGCACUGCCAGUUGGAAGGGUAGCAGGAGGUGCAGCUACAUUAUGCUGCUUUAAAGGUUAUAAAGCUCCUCUGUCUCCUGACAAUGCCAGUAUUUGCCUUUCUGACUAAGUGACUGACUCUUUGAUGCAAUAGCUGCUUUGCUCCUAGGGGGAAUGUAAAGUCACUCAAUAAAACAAGUGUUUACAGUGGUAAGAUUACAAAGGUU